GUCUACGGCCACGCCACCCUGAACGCGCACGAUCCGGCUGAUCUUGGACGCUAAGCAGGGUCGGGCCUGGUGAGUACUGGGAUGGGAGACCACCUAGGAAGACCAGGUGCUGUAGGAG
rnacentral:rRNA from 1 species